AGCACUUCGAAACAAAAGCUCCUGCUUUGUUUUGACAACGCAGAAUGAGUUUUAUCUGCAAGAAAGGGAAAUUACAGAAAUCAAUUAGAAAAUCAUGCAAGAGAUUUAAUUGGAUAAGGCGGAUUUGCUUGAACAAGAAAGACUUUGAAGGGAAGGCUUCACCUCAGAGUGGAAGUGCACCGCUUUGCUGUCUGACACCUGGAGCUGAGUGGUGAGCUCUCCCACUCUGGUCAUGUAGUGAGUUUUUAUCAGCUGCUCCCUGGACUCCUCGUCUCCCACCUGCAAAACACACGCAACAUCCUGCAAUGUUACUUACACCGGAUUUAUCGAUUGGGAAUACGUGGCUUUGAACUUUUUCAUACAAAUGCAUGGCCACUCACAUGCUCGACAACGGGUACGGUACACAACAUGCCAACCUGGAGGGAGGAGACAAACACAGCUGUUGAGUAAACUGCAAUAAUAAAUUGAGGCCUGACCAGUUCUGGAUUAUAGGGGCACAUUAAACCUCUAAUAUUCUUCUAUUGCGCUGCAUCAGCAAAUUUAGAUGUCUGAGGCAAAUUUAGAUGUCUGAGUUUUAUCUUACAAAAAAGCGUGGGAAGAACAGGAACAGACAAUAAUAGUUACAGAAAAUCAGACCACAAGGAGGAACUUUCCUCCGCAAGAUAAAAUUAAGAAGUGACUGUACCAGGCUGGUGCACAUAGUUUCUUUCGCAGUGGUUUUCAAAGGCGUCUCAACUUCCUCGUGGUUCUGUGUCAGCGAGCUGACCACAGUCGUCUGAGAGUUCCGACCUUCCCCGAGAGCCAUGGCGAGCUGCGCUUCCAGGUCUGAAAUACGCUGGUUCUCCUUUUCCAGUCGCACCUUCCCCAGUUGAGC